UACAGAGGUGGCAAGCGUUGUUCGGAAUUACUGGGCGUAAAGGGCGCGUAGGCGGUUCGAUAAGUCCCGUGUGAAAUCCCUCGGCUCAACUGAGGAACUGCACGGGAAACUGACGGGCUUGAGUUCGGGAGAGGGAAGCGGAAUUCCGGGUGUAGCGGUGAAAUGCGUAGAUAUCUGGAGGAACACCGGUGGCGAAGGCGGCAUCCUGGACCAAUUCUGACGCUGAGGCGCGAAAGCCAGGGGAGCAAACGGG
rnacentral:rRNA from 1 species